UGGUUUUCACGUGGUGCCCUCACCUCAGA
rnacentral:piRNA from 1 species